GAUCAGUGGCGAACGGGUGAGUAACACGUGAGCAACCUGCCCCUGACUCUGGGAUAAGCGCUGGAAACGGCGUCUAAUACUGGAUAUGAGCUGCGACCGCAUGGUCAGCAGUUGGAAAGAUUUUUCGGUCUGGGAUGGGCUCACGGCCUAUCAGCUUGUUGGUGAGGUAAUGGCUCACCAAGGCGUCGACGGGUAGCCGGCCUGAGAGGGUGACCGGCCACACUGGGACUGAGACACGGCCCAGACUCCUACGGGAGGCAGCAGUGGGGAAUAUUGCACAAUGGGCGGAAGCCUGAUGCAGCAACGCCGCGUGAGGGACGACGGCCUUCGGGUUGUAAACCUCUUUUAGCAGGGAAGAAGCGAAAGUGACGGUACCUGCAGAAAAAGCGCCGGCUAACUACGUGCCAGCAGCCGCGGUAAUACGUAGGGCGCAAGCGUUAUCCGGAAUUAUUGGGCGUAAAGAGCUCGUAGGCGGUUUGUCGCGUCUGCUGUGAAAUCCCGAGGCUCAACCUCGGGUCUGCAGUGGGUACGGGCAGACUAGAGUGCGGUAGGGGAGAUAGAAA
rnacentral:rRNA from 1 species